GUAUGGGUGGUAUAUGUGCUUCUGUGAGAUAUUCAUGUUCACUUCAAUGACAGCAUAAUAUUAGCUGAACAUCAUUAGUUUUUUGACAAGUUCAUCGAUUACACUAACCAAGGACAUAUCACAUAACUUGUAAUUUAUGGCCUUUACUUUGUGAUUUGAUUUAUGGUAAGCACGGAAUCUAUUUUUUAAAGUCAUUUUUACAGGGUGGUUGAUACGUGCCUGCACAUUUCGUCGGAGCAGUUUCCAGUGGAAGAACCAGCAUAUGAACUGAAAUACUUUGCAGAAAGAAACAGGCAAUGGUGGUUGAUACAUGCCUUCACAUUUUGUUGGCGCAAUUUGUAAUGGAAGGAGCACAUCUGAACUGAAAGUCUGAAAUAGUUUGCAAAAAGAAACAGGUGAUGUGACAGCUAUAGUUGAGAACACGCCGGGACAAAGUUUCAUGUCGGGCUUUGGCUUCCUAGCCCCAUACCAGCAGUGGUGCUGUGUGACCUGUGAGCUAGUCAGCUAGGCCUAGGAUGGCAUAGCUGCAUGUGGAGGAGCACCUGGACUGAAGUGCCCCACACGAAGUUCCGGGACCGAAAGCUCGGUACACCAUCGUGCAGUGCGGUGCAGACAGGGCCGGAGGACGGUGACUGCGAGCUCUCAUGAGUCCCGAGGUAGCUGAAUAUGGGUAUGGCUGGGUCUGACGGAAACGAUGUCUCUGCCAAGUGAUCUUCAGUUUCCAUGCCAUGCCCUG